GAUGAGCUUAAGAUCUAGUCUGUUUUGGUUUUAGAUUUUUGAAGAGCGAGUAGAAAGAGGUCAAAGCGAGAGAGAAAGACUUACAAAAAAAGAAAAAAAAAAAAAGAAAAAAAGGCAAAGGACUGAAAAGAUAAUAUGGAAAGAAAAUAUAGGAUACCGUUCUUUCAUUUGAAGAACAAAAUUUUCAUAUCUGUUUAAACCAAAAAAUAAUAAUAAUAAUAAUUCAUUUCUACGCCAUAAAUUUUUGUUAAGUGGCACAAAAGAAAUGGUAUAACAUGUGGAUAAUAAUUAAGCUAUAUCUGGAUAUCCAGAUAAGAACGCCAUUCCAUUGCCCAUAAAACAUAUAGAGAGAUGGACUAGAAUUCUAGGUAGCUACUUUUUUUGGUUGAAUCAAAUAAACAAAACAGAUCAAACGGCUAGCUGGAGAAGAAAAUAUGCCAGAAAUGGUAGCCCAUCCAAUGAAUGGUGGAUCUGGCAUCUAUAGCUACAGCAGAAACUCCACCAUUCAGAGAGAAGCCAUAGAGAUUGCUAAACAAUUGAUCAACAAGGCAAUUGCUGAAAAGCUUGAAAUCAGUAACUCUUCAUACUCUAAGCACCUCGUUAUUCCAGCUUGCUCCAAUGGAACUCCCCAUUUGAAGUUUUCAAUGAGGCACUUGAGCUUCUUGGAUGUUGUCUCAUAGACAUGGCCAAAAGGCUUGUUGUGUUGUUAACGUCCACAGGGCUUGAUAAGUGAAGAAAAAGUUGACUCAUUUAACAUAUUAACAUACAGCAGUACUAAUUUCCAUCAAGUGGAAGCAAUUGUGGAGCGAAAUGGAUGUUUCGCGGUAGAAAUAGUGGAGAAUCUACCCCGUAAGAAGCCACCAUCUAGAGUUUUGUCAGCCGUACUUAGAGCUGAUUUGGAGAUAUUAAUAAAGCAACAUUUUGGUGAUGACAUUCUAGAUUAGCUUUUUGAUUUAUUUUGCCAGAAAUGUGAAGAAAGGUUUUCUAUCUUUCAACCACAGAAAGCAAUCACUCUAAUUAUUUUACUCAGACGCAUAGCAAUUGAUUAGAAAAUAUCUCCUUAAUAGGCUUUUAUUAUUUAAUCAUGUCACUUUCUUUUUCUUUUCUUUUACUUUUUUCUUUAUUUAUUUAUUAAUAUCGUUUUUUUUUUUAAUUUUUUUUGGGGCUUUGAAGUUAAUUAUGUCCAUUUGUUAUCAAUCAUGAUCAUGUAAGUUAAUAAUAUGUACUUUUUUUUCAU